ensembl:lncRNA
UUAUUGUUGCUAUUUCUUGGGCUGCUCCCGCGGCAUAUGGAGGUUCCCAGGCUAGCGGUUGAAUCGGAGCUGUAGCCACCGGCCUACGCCAGAGCCACAGCCACGCAGGAUCCGAGCCGCAUCUGCAACCUACACCACAGCUCACGGCAACGCCGGAUCGUUAACCCACUGAGCAAGGGCAGGGACCGAACCCGCAACCUCAUGGUUCCUAGUCGGAUUUGUUAACCACUGCGCCACGACGGGAACUCCCGAGAAACCGGUUUUUAAUUCCAACUUCUAUUAACAGUAUUUCUACUCCAUCAUUAUUUCCCAUUUAUCUUCAUUGUGUGCCCACCUCACUCGCUUUGGGUGUUUUGGAAUCUUCCAUGUAACCGAAUAUCUACCCUCACAAUUCUAUCUCUGAUUUCCAAAAUGUAACUGGAACAAGACUGUUUCUGCUGUCUGUACAAAUUUCCAUUUAGCUGUCUUACUCUAUCAGACUAACACUGUCUUUCUUUACAACUGUGGAGAAAAGAAUACCUAUUACAGGUUCUAAGGUGUCUGAGUUAAAGAUACUGAAAUGUCAGUAAGUGAAAGAACAAAAGUCAAAUGCUUUGUUCCGAGGGUGUUGCAUAUUUCAUGCUCUUGAUGAAAAAAUGAAUUAAAAAAAUUUCCAGAGACGGAAAGACACAAAAAUUGAUCAUUUACUCCACAGAAAAAAAAUACCAUAUUUUGGAUGAGGGGAGAUAAUUAACCUUCACCUCACCAUGUCCUGGGCCAUAGGAAUCUUCCCGAAAUAAAUCUGUUGAGCUGAGAACAACAGGAAAUUGCCACUUACAGGCUUUAAAACCUUGCAUGCUGCCACAAAGCCGCCCACUCACUUGACAUUGUACCAGUUGCUAAUGGUUUCUGGCUAAGGAUUUUGUCUUAAUCACCGAGGGAUCACCAGUCUUCAAAAUGACCACGACCCAUGAGUUAAUUUGAUUUUAGAAUGCAGCCCUCUGUUCCAUUAUGUUAUGAAAAUUCUUAAGCACACCAUCAAUCCAACGUCAAUGACAAGCGAUUUAAUAUUUACAACUCACAUCCACUUGUUGGACAGAUACUGCCCAGAAAACCCAAAGGUAUUAUUAAUAUGUCCUCUAGGAAAGACCAGGGUUUAUUUAUAUUUCGGUUAUGGAAAACUGGCCAGAGAUCUUUAACACACUGAUAGUGUUCUGUGUCUGCUUUGAAAGAUUUUUAUUAAGUCGAUUAGGUACUAUUGUACAAACCAGCCCUUGGUAUGAGGUAAUGCUAGAAGGAACACAGCUGGUCCCCAGUUUAGGCAUCUUUUAAAAGCAGAUGUGUUAAAAGCCAAAGCAGGUGUGAGGCACACUUGAAAAUGAGUCUUGACAGAAUAACACUGCAUUUGGAAAGGCAGCAGUUAAGCCAGAUCCUUAAAGAAACUGGGUCCUGAUGUGAUUAUGGAGACGGAAACAUUUUCUGGAGGGGGGCGUCCCCCAGAUCUUACAGCUCAUUUAACUUGAGGAGAAUAUUCCUAAUUUCCCUAUCAGUACUGCUCUCCUGAGAACCCUUAGGGACUACAGGGAUGUCACCUCAUAGAUUCUUUACCAAAACGCAUGCAUUUGCAUCACUGCACAUCUCUGCUCUAAAUACUUUUUCAAGAGAAAGUGAAGAUGGUCACACUGACACAAAGCUUGUGCUUAGCUUGCUUGCUCUCUCUCGAUACAGAUCACACAUUUUAAGCCCCAGCUGGGUACCAUCCACUAUAAUUUAAAAUUUGGGGGGAGGUGAUGUGGACGGAAAGGGGAAGUUCCAUAUUCUCAGGCUUAUAGAAGAGAAAGAAAAAAGAAAUAUCCAGAAUAGAAUUCAGUACCCAAACAAUCAAAGCUCAAUAGGAGUGUUCACUGAAACAAAAGAGGCAUGAUUUUCUCUUCGGUAUAUUCUAUCCUUCAAAUUCUAGCAACGUUUUCUUUGUUAAUAUGGACAAAUUGGCAUGAAACUGCUUUUGCAGUAGAGAAUUCCUUUGAGAAUUCUGUAAAUUGUAAACUUGAUUUCUAUCACUUCAUGCUAAGAGAUUCCAUGUUAGAUGGUGUCACAAAUUUUGUAAGAAUUGAUCAUGGCCUGGUGCUAAAAUACUAGAAGGCAAAGUCACACUUCAGAAGAAAGGAAAGAAAGUAGAGAAAAAGAGCAAUGAAGUGUCAUUUGUGAAAUUUAGUAUCUAACAUGUCAUGGGGAUUAGAAAACCGUUUUAGGGACAACUUGAAAAAGUGUAUUACUUCAUUCGUGGCUACAGGCUUUUUUAUAUUACUAAUAUGGAUAUAUGGGUAUAGUAAGAAAAAUGGUCAGCUUGUAGGAAAAAGAGGAGAGGGUGGUAUUCAUUACUUCAAUUAAUAUACAUAGCCAGUGGGUCUAACAUUCAUUUGUAUAAUCAUAAGGUGCCUAAAACUGGUUAGGGUUGUUUACAUCUGUACUAGUUGAUACCUGUUGUAUCACUGAGUCAAAUCUGAACAUGGCUUUUGGAAAGAUGGAAGCUCAUCUCUUACCCAACAUUGCCUUCUGUUCUGAGUUGAGCCAUGCUUUCUCUUUUGGGGGAGUAUUUGGCAAAAAAAUAAGUCUUAAGAAACUUUAGAGAGAGCUUUUUAAUGCAGAGAACACAGACUGAAUUUCCCCUUUAACUGGAGAGGGAAAGACAUGGCUCUUACAUCCCUAAGUUUCUUUUGAUACUCUGUCAGUGAUUUAUUUGCUCAUCCCGAUAACUCUGGAUGUAUAAUUAAGCAACACAGGCAUAAUUUCCCAUAGAUGUAAAGGGUGAUUUCUUAAUGUGGAUACCGUCAUUGCAGAGAAGAGGAUCAAUCCUGUAUCAGAGCCAGAGACAUGAUACUAUAUCUCAACCAACAUUAAAUAAUAAUUUGAAUAUGUAUUAGCUCUAAGUUACGGCAUGUUCAGUUGAUUCUCCUUGUGGCUCCAUGCCUUGAUGAGCACAUCUCAUAUACGGUGCUCAGAUUGGGGAACCAGAGGAUGUUCUUGGAUCUGGAGUCAUGAUCAAGGACUUGCUACUUCUCUAUCUUCUAAUAUCGCCUGGGUUUUAUUUGGCUGUGCCAGCAUCUCUGAGUUCCUGAAGACCUGUUGGCUCACCACCCUCCCUUUGGAGAAAAGUCUGGUUAUGGUUUGACAACAGGUUGCCCUACUUGGGUUCCAAUUAUAUCCUUGUUUAUCAUUUGGACUUCUGGACACGCAAAUACUUGUGAUCUGGUUUUGUUUGUUUUGUUUUUUUAAGUACAGGCUUUGAGCCAUUCUUUCAGCCAGUGUUGAUAACUUUUAGUAACUUAUUUUCAUAUAAACGCAAAAAAACCUAUACCCUUAAAGGCACAUGUGUGGGCCUUAGUUCUAUAGGGCUUAUGAAUAAUAUAGUUUCUGUUUCACAGCAAUAGCAGAGGCCAAUAAGAGAGCAGUAACAGAAAAGAAGAAUGAAAAGCCUACAGGGAGUUGUCUUUUGGUUUUUAUCUCCCUCCAUUUCAAAUCUUCUGUUUAUAAAGCAGGCUUAUUUAAACGUAAUCUUCUUAUUCUCUUUAAUAAGCUGUAAAAAUAGACAAAAUUUUGAAAAGAGAGAAAAAGAGUGGUUAAGGGUCUGGGUAGUUCACAAAUAAUAACUGAAUACCCAAGACACAACAUAGAAAAUAUUUUCAAAAUGCAUUAUAGAUAGUUUUUCCUCUUGAUAACUCAAUUUCUCCCUCUUUUUCCAGUCCGUCAUCGAGGCUCAUGGGUAGACUUCUUAGAGCAUAACUCUUCAAAUGUAAAAUGGUGAUGGUGAUAACAUUAUUUAUUUGUUGAGAUGCUUAAAUACUAUAAAAAGAAGCAAUGACAAAACAGUAAGAACCGAGUAAGAAUAAGAACCGAAUAAGAACAGGUUAAAAUAAAUUUAACCUGUGUGCUAUUUUGCAUGCAUUUCAUAUUUCAGUCCUCACAGGAUUGAGGAUUACAUGCAGAAUCUCUUUGUAUAAUGUUGCAAAUGUUGGUUAUACUUACUGAAGAUAUACUACUUUUGAGUAAGUGCCAUACAUUUUCAUAUGAGGACAUAAUAAAAAUUUGGAAAAACACCUUCCUUCUUGUUAGCUCCUUUCCACUGACCUAGAGAAGAGCAUUGUAUGUAAAGACUCCCACCUGGGGUUAAUGAAUACCUACUCCUGUUUCCUAAAGACUUUUAAAUAUGCCUUUCAGAACAGCCAUAGCAUAGCAUAAAGCAUAAGAGUUCAGACUCUGGGCUCAAACUACACAGUGAUUACUAGCCAGCUGUGUGUCAUUGGUCAAGUUCCUUAACCUCUGUGUACCUCAGUUUCCCCAUCUAUCAAUGAAGAGCAUAAUAUUAUCUCAUAUGUGGCUGUGAGGAUUAAAUAAGGUAGUAUAAGAGCUUGGACCAGUAUGCCAUUAAACACACACUAUCAGUUAUUACAAUUGUAGUUACUGUAAAAUAUAGCAAAAGAAACAGAGUGAAAAGGCAAUAUAUCGAAUGGGAAGAAAUAU